ACCAGUGCCUUUCACGCAUGCUUAAUUCAUGCAUUUACCUAAUUUGCAUAAUGUGAUUGUAAAAAAAGUAAAAUAAUAAUAUGCAAAUUAGGUAAAUGCAUAAAUUAAGCAUGCGUGAAAGGCAUUGGU